rnacentral:lncRNA from 1 species
CCCAUUGUGUCUCUCCCUUGCUCAUCUUGACACUAAUGAAAGCCACUAGAUGUCACUACUAUAUAGUAGGAAUAAAGUUAAGAUAAUAUUUUUUUGGCAAUAAAUGUCCUGACUCAUAAGGAAGCUGGGUUAUAAAAGCCGUGGAUAGUUUGGAUUCCUUCCAGUUAAAAAACAAAACAAAACUUUUUUUUUUUUUUUUUUUUUUUACUAAAAAUAUUGGAUUCAAGUUCAAAACAGUCAUUUAACAAAUAACAUUGACUUGUAUUUUAAAAGGAAAAAUACUUUGAAGUUAAUACCAAGUAAAGAAACGUGGUCUGUGGCUCUGAGAACUGCGAUGAUGGGAAAAAUUAUAUCUGGAGGUCUACAGUGCUAAAGACAAGGCUUGACUAAAUGUAGGGUUGGGGACGUUCAGGAGUACUCAUAUUCUCUUACUCAACCAGACGUGGAGGCAAAAGGCCAGAGAAAUAAUAGUAAUAGCAGUAAUAAUAUUGUAUAUUUAUAUGGUGCCUUUCAUCUCCCAGAUUUCUACGCUGCAGUGUCUAGGUGACUGCAGAUACAAUAAUCACUUUGCUCACCACCACCAUGGAACCACCCUUGGCAAGGCCACGGCAGCCAUCAAACAGCACGUUGGGAGUUACUGCUCCAAUUGCAAAGAUCACGAGGGCACGUUUGAAGCAGGAAUGAACCGGCCAGACCCAUCCCUGCUGUAGGUCAUGAACGUACUGAAACCCUGAUGGUGGAAGAUGCAGGGAACAUAUUAAAUCCUGUUUGUGUGGAAAAACAGAAAUAAUAACAAAAUGCUCAGCUGAGGUAGGGGCUCCCUCGGGUCUCUGUCUAUGGAAGCUCUUCUUGAGAACAUGAGGUAUGUGAGGUUCUUUUGAAAUGAGAUGGAGUGGGGUAGGGGAUGAGGUUUUCUUGGCCAUGUGAAUGUACUUCUUUCUGUCUGACAGUAAGAGAUUUGGACAUCUUCAUGCAAUUUGGUUACCAGCAUUACGUGAGCAACUGCCUACUUUGCAC